UACGUAGGGUGCAAGCGUUGUCCGGAAUUAUUGGGCGUAAAGAGCUCGUAGGCUGUUUGUCGCGUCUUCUGUGAAAACUCGGGGCUCAACUCCGAGCUUGCAGUGGGUACGGGCAGACUAGAGUGCGGUAGGGGAGACUGGAAUUCCUGGUGUAGCGGUGGAAUGCGCAGAUAUCAGGAGGAACACCGGUGGCGAAGGCGGGUCUCUGGGCCGUAACUGACGCUGAGGAGCGAAAGCAUGGGGAGCGAACAGG
rnacentral:rRNA from 1 species